UGCCGAGAGCUACAGUAGGAAUAUGGCAGAAAGUAGCGGACCUGACGGAGGUGGACUAUUAGCACUUGUUGGAAGAAAGAUCCAGGACCUUGGUCCAGAAUUUUCCCGUCCAUGGAGAUGGAGAUCGAGAAGGCGGCGAUGGACGGCGGCGCCAAUGGCGAUUCCCCUGUAGAUCUGGUGUUUCAGGUAGUUCAUCUUGCCGGAGGGUGUGCCCCUCACGACGAUGCAGAUAGUAAGAGCCAGCACGCCGGCGGAGUCUGCAAUUAAUCCACGAGCUCCCGGGUGGAUUAAGUGGAUAUGUUCUUCUGAUUGAAACCUUGGUCCAGCUUAGAACUAUACAAAUCCCUCCCGUGCCGGCUUGCUCUAUUUAGGUUCUCUAAUUCAUCUCCGGGGAAUGGGAUCGUAGUUGGCAUUGUGAGUUGUUUACCUUUUUAUGAGCUCGUGAGUUGAUGGACCGCGGCGUGGAACCGGACAACGACGGGAGUAUGGACAAUGGUCCAGUGGAGUGUGGGGAGUCAGCAGUGAAGCCGGAUCGAGGUCGCCCUUGUGGUGUUCAUAAGAUUAGUUAGACCAAAGUAGUUAAAUUUAGGUUGCCUCUUGUCUGUUAAAAAAAGAGUAAUACUUCCAUGAGGUAAACAAUGGGUGAAUUAGUCCCUGUAAUCAUGUCGGUAUGAAUUGGUGCUGUAUCAGACAGGAAGGGAAGGGUAUUGUAUCGUUCUCCAUGCCCGGCAGGGUGCGCGAGAUGGAGGGGUGGGGUGUGGUUUGGCCAUUCACGUUUGUCAUCAGCGGCAAGAUCGCCUGUGAAUUGUCUUGGUUUAUGUAUCUUGGAGCGGAACAUCGGUUCGCGUGUGGUAAAACAACCAAAGUUGUUUUGGUCCAGAUUUUGUGUUGGAUCACUGAUUUAUGGAUAUGUUUUUUUUCACACACAGUGCGUGUAGGCGCUAAUCCGAUGGAAUGAACACCCCGUCAUGGUAGGAUGAGGGCCCUCGAAAAAUCCAUAAGAGGCUUUGCGAGACCGGAGAGGGACAGAGAGGAAGUUGUUAAGCCAGAGUUAGGAACUACAUCUGACUCGUCGAUAGCCUAGGAAGGUAGGAAAGAUGCAACAGUGUUCCUGGACACCAAAAGAACACCUGCAGUAGACUAGCGAAAAAUACGAUUUGCAUUCAAGUGUGAUGCUUGUAUGAGCUCAUGAUGAGUUGAUGUUGUAAACGUUGUUGCUCUAUAACUGCUUAGUUGUAAUGCAGAGCUUGUUAAUGCGACUUGCUAAUCUUUCUUGGUAGCUAGACUGAUUGACUAGACAUGGUUGUGCACUUGCAUUACUAAUCUACAGGAAACAUAUGAGGUUCAAAAUUUGAAUGAGGGAACAACGCUCGGUCCGCCUAGUCGCUACAAGAGGCCCGAUGAGAAUCUAGUUUAAUCGGAGGAGCAAUGACACCUUCAAUCAGCUGGGAAAGCUCAGGGGUACUCACGUCAAGGUUGGCUUGGUCCACGCCUGAUGCAAUUAGCAAUGAGGUGUUCUCGCAAAAAAGAACAAUGAGAUAUACUUAUUGAGUGAGGGUGGUGGCUUGCCAUGAACGGCUUAAGCACGGUCCAGGUGUUUCUCACACAAGGUCCAAGUUUCCUGCCAUGCAGACCGUACAGGACCAACGGGCUUCUACCGCAGUAAAUGUGAAGCAGAUGUGGGCCUAUGCACUAUUCAAUACUGAUUUCAUCCAAGCAAUACAAAGCGAUAUACAGCUGGCGGCUUAGAUCCCUAUGUAGACCAUGGGUUCAGAUAAUGAGAGCAUAUGGUCGUACGAGCCAUAUCGAAUUUCCGCAUACAAAGGUUAAUUAUUAGAGUGGGUACUAAAACAUAUUCUAUUUUAUAAUAUGUUUUAUUGUCAUCUUCAGAUUAUGUGCCUCACUGAGAGAAGGCACCCAAAGAUGAGGGAAGAACACAUCGUCAUAUGUGGUCUAUUUUUAGUUUUCACUAGCAAAAGAGACAGUGCAUUGUAAUAGGAGAAACAAUACGACAUAUGCCUGUAACCCAAUAAUCAUGAUU